rnacentral:rRNA from 3 species
AGCAGCCGCGGUAAUUCCAGCUCCAAUAGCGUAUAUUAAAGUUGUUGCAGUUAAAAAGCUCGUAGUUGAAUUUCGGGAUUGGCGCAUCGGUCGUGCCUCACGGGGUAUGAACUGGUGCAGUCAAUUUCUCACCUUCUGGAGAACCGCGAUGUCCUUAAUUGGAUGCCGCGGGGAACCAGGACCUUUACUUUGAAAAAUUAGAGUGUUUAAAGCAGGCAUUUUUGCUUGAAUACAUUAGCAUGGAAUAAUAAAAUAGGACGGCAUGGUUCUAUUUUGUUGGUUUCUAGGACCACCGUAAUGAUUAAUAGGGAUAGUUGGGGGCAUUAGUAUUCAAUUGUCAGAGGUGAAAUUCUUGGAUUUAUUGAAGACUAACUACUGCGAAAGCAUUUGCCAAGGAUGUUUUCAUUAAUCAAGAACGAAAGUUAGGGGAUCGAAGACGAUCAGAUACCG